rnacentral:rRNA from 1 species
GAUCCUGGCUCAGAAUCAACGCUGGCGGCGUGCCUCAGACAUGCAAGUCGAACGAUUAAGACUUCCUUCGGGAAGUGUAUAAAGUGGCGCACGGGUGAGUAACACGUAAGUAAUCUACCUUCGAGUGGGGAAUAACGUCCGGAAACGGACGCUAAUACCGCAUAAUGCAGCGGCAUCGUAAGAUGACAGUUGUUAAAGAUUUAUCGCUUGAAGAGGAGCUUGCGGCAGAUUAGCUAGUUGGUAAGGUAAUGGCUUACCAAGGCUACGAUCUGUAACCGGUCUAAGAGGACGGUCGGUCACACUGACACUGAAUAACGGGUCAGACUCCUACGGGAGGCAGCAGUCGGGAAUUUUGGGCAAUGGGCGAAAGCCUGACCCAGCAACGCCGCGUGAAGGAUGAAGUAUUUCGGUAUGUAAACUUCGAAAGAAUGGGAAGAAUAAAUGACGGUACCAUUUAUAAGCUCCGGCUAACUACGUGCCAGCAGCCGCGGUAAUACGUAGGGAGCAAGCGUUGUUCGGAUUUACUGGGCGUAAAGGGCGCGUAGGCGGCAAUUCAAGUCAUCUGUGAAAUCUCCGGGCUUAACUCGGAACGGUCAGAUGAUACUGUCUUGCUAGAGUGCAGAAGGGGCAAUCGGAAUUCUUGGUGUAGCGGUGAAAUGCGUAGAUAUCAAGAGGAACACCUGAGGUGAA